GUAGUUAGCCGGGGCUUCCUCCUUGAGUACCGUCACUUCCUUCUUCCUCAAGGACAGAGGUUUACAAUCCGAGAACCUUCUUCCCUCACGCGGCGUUGCUGGGUCAGGCUUUCGCCCAUUGCCCAAUAUUCCCCACUGCUGCCUCCCGUAGGAGUCUGGGCCGUGUCUCAGUCCCAGUGUGGCCGAUCACCCUCUCAGGUCGGCUACCCAUCGUUGACUUGGUGGGCCGUUACCUCACCAACUAUCUAAUGGGACGCGAGCUCACCCCUCACCGGAUUGCUCCUUUGACCCCUUCGUCAUGUGACGUUGUGGUCUUAUGCGGUAUUAGCACCUGUUUCCAAGUGUUAUCCCCCUGUGAAGGACAGAUUGCUCACGCGUUACUCACCCGUCCGCCGCUAAAACAGAAACCGAAGCCUCUGUCUCCGCUCGACUUGCAUGUGUUAGGCACGCCGCCAGCGUUCGUCCUGAGCCAGGAUCAAACUCUGA
rnacentral:rRNA from 1 species